rnacentral:rRNA from 1 species
UGGGGAAUAUUGCACAAUGGGCGCAAGCCUGAUGCAGCCAUGCCGCGUGUGUGAAGAAGGCCUUCGGGUUGUAAAGCACUUUCAGCGGGGAGGAAGGCGAUAAGGUUAAUAACCUCAUCGAUUGACGUUACCCGCAGAAGAAGCACCGGCUAACUCCGUGCCAGCAGCCGCGGUAAUACGGAGGGUGCAAGCGUUAAUCGGAAUUACUGGGCGUAAAGCGCACGCAGGCGGUCUGUCAAGUCGGAUGUGAAAUCCCCGGGCUCAACCUGGGAACUGCAUUCGAAACUGGCAGGCUAGAGUCUUGUAGAGGGGGGUAGAAUUCCAGGUGUAGCGGUGAAAUGCGUAGAGAUCUGGAGGAAUACCGGUGGCGAAGGCGGCCCCCUGGACAAAGACUGACGCUCAGGUGCGAAAGCGUGGAGAGCAAACAGG